rnacentral:rRNA from 1 species
UACGUAGGCAGCAAGCGUUGUUCGGAGUUACUGGGCGUAAAGGGUGCGUAGGCGGCUUUUUAAGUUUGGUGUGAAAUCUCCCGGCUCAACUGGGAGGGUGCGCCGAAUACUGAGAGGCUAGAGUGUGGGAGAGGAAAGUGGAAUUCCUGGUGUAGCGGUGAAAUGCGUAGAUAUCAGGAGGAACACCGGUGGUGUAAACGGCUUCUGGACCAUAACUGACGCUGAGGCACGAAAGCGUGGGUAGCAAACAGG